UGGCGGCGGCGGCAGCUGCUCCUCUGACGGCGGGGGAGGGACCCCGGGGGCAGCUCAGAGCGCGGCUGGUGCUCGGGUGGCGGAGGGAGAAAGAAGGGAAGGGAGGCUGUGAGUUAACGGCGGCUCGCAGGGAGGGAGAGAGGGGGAGGGAGGAAGGCGGAGGGAUAUUCGGGCCGGACCUCUCCGCGGCGGCACCGCGCUACAUGUCGAUUGGCUGCCGCUGUGGCCACGCGGAAUCCCCAAUUGGCCAGGCGGUUAGCGUUGAAGGGCCGCCCUGCGCCCAUUCGCUCGCUGGUUUCAAGGCCCGGGGUUGGCUGGGCGGGCAGCAGGAUGGGGGUGCGGAUUGGCCGAGGGGCGGGAGAUUGGGGUGAGGCCGGCCAGAGUCUGCCGCUGAUUGGAUUGGCCUGGUAAAGGCCGUGAGCUGAGGCUGUAGGAGCGCUGGGAGGAGGGUGGACAGAAGGAAGCUGCUUUAAUCGCUAGGCCUACUUGGUACCAGGCUUUCGGCUGGGAAGGACCUUGAAGACCAUGCGGUUCAACUUCCAAUUUGCAGAUGUGGAAACUGAAGCCGAGAGAGGGAAACGUCUGGAGGAUGUGGUACACCAAAACAAGAAUAAAUCAAGAAACAGGAAGACGUGAUCCUGGAAACAGGAUAUUCAACAGAGACGACGACCUGAGUUCCAGAGAGUGCCUUGCCGAAGGUCGCACAAGUCAGCGUUGGAGCCUCUAGCAGAACUCAGGUCUCCUGACACCCAGUGACGUAUUAAAAUACUUUUUUAAAAACUGUGGUUAAAAAAAAUUACCAUCAACCAUUUUUAAGUGUAUAGUUCAGUAGUGUUAAGUAUAGUCACAUGGUUGUGUAACAAAUCUCUAGAACUUACUCAUCUUGCAAAACUGAAACUUUAUAUCCAUUGAACAACUCUCUACUUUCUUCCCCUCACCCCUGCCCCUGGCAACCACCAUUCCACUUUCUGUCUCUAUGAAUUUGAGUGCUCUAGAUACCUUCUGUAAGUGGAAUCACACAGUAUGUGUCUUUUUGUGAUUGGCUCGUUUUACUUAGCAUAUGUCCUCGAGGUUGAUACAUUUCCUCCCUUAAGGCUGAACAGGAUUACAUUGUAGCACAUUUUGUUGAUCCGUUCUUCCAUCAACGGACACUUAGGUUGCUUCCACCUUUUAGCUAUCACGAAUAAUGCUGCUCUGAGCAUGGGUAUACACGUAUCUCUCUGAGAUGUUGCUUUCAGUGCUUUUGGAUAUAUACUUGGAAGUGCGAUUCCAGUAAUGCAUUUUUUAAGUUCUCCAUCUCAUUCCAAAAAUGAUUUGAGGCCACUGUCCCAGCACCUUCAUAAGUAUUAAAAAAAAAAAAAAAGUUCUGAAUUUAAUGAAUGAACAAAGGGGUCAGAAUGGAACAGAGGAGACAACAGAAAGGAGUGGCCUAUGAGAAGUCUGGUAGAAUAAAGCUUUUUACCUUUACCCUCGGGAAAUAGCUGCAAAUAAUUAAGAUCCACCAGAGAUGGACUGGAGUGGCCAAGGCUUGUUUUCUCAUCUACAUAAAGGUCUCCAAAGCAUUCCCAAAGUUGCAUUCAAACAGAGUAAGCCCUGUGCAUAUGAAAGGGUCACAAAGGAGGGAUUCGGUAUUCAUGAUACGUGGUCUGUACAGGGGUGGGUGCACAAACUCAGAUAUUCUGGGCCUGUCAUGGGACCUUCAUAAAGGAUCUAGUCAGAGUGGGGACUGUGGUAGAGUGUGCUGGUCAUAAGUCUGUACUCAGCUCCAGACAUUGAUGUCAGAUCUUACGAUUUUUCAAGAAAAACUAGAUACACCUGAAACUAACACAACAUUAUAAGUCAACUAUACUCCAAUAAAAUUUUUUUUAAAAAAAGAAAAGCUGGAAAUCUGGAUUUCUGUGUGAAAUACCAUGAUUUUUUAAAGCUGGCAUUUAAAUUUUCAAAAAGAUUUAAAAGGCAUUGUGUAAAUCAAAGACAAAAUACAAGUUUGCAACCUCUGGUGUGUGGUACUGUGGAGCAUUUAUGGUAGGUAGUGAGCUCUGGGGAAGAAUUGUGUCUGGUUUGUUUGGCCAGGGCUGGGAAGAGGUUAAUGGGGCCUAAAUCAAAUGCCUGCAUCUGCACAAGCUCUGCCCUUCUGUCCUUGGGUAAAGUUUAAUGUGUUGCAGGCAGAGAGGAAAUGGCCUAAAAUGAACCAUUAAGUUCUCCUGGUAGCAUAUCUGCCGGUCAGACAGGAGAGGAGGGCCCCCAAUUUCGCAUCAUUUCUGUGAGAUUCGUUUGUGCCUACUUUACAGAACCGCUGUAGAAUAAAACACAGAUUUGGAAAGGUGUUGAAUUUCUCCUAAAAUGUAAUGCAGGUGCUAACUGGGAUAAUUAUCUUGCUGUGAAGAGCUCAGAAGAGUGUAAUGUUUUGGGAACAGCUUCUACAAAAGCUGACCUAGGAGAUGCUGGGCCCCAGCUGUGGCUGGAAGAAAUGAAGGGGAAAGAAUGUGUUAGCCAUUGUGCUCUGGUGGGUUUGAGAAGGAGGCAGAACACUGAUCUUUCCUGGAAGUGGCAUUGAAGAGUCAGUGCGGAGUUGAGAAAUACGUGUGGCCAUAAAUGGCAUGACCCUGCUCCAAACAGCUCAGCUCAGCUCAUGCCUGGCUUCGUGAACCUCACACUGGAAGUUUCAACUGAAAUAAACUUCUGACCUUUCCAUCAGUUCCUUUCAGUCAGAGUUUUAUAUGUUAUAGACUAUUUCAGGGACUUCCCUGGCGGUCCAGUAGUUAAGACUCCUCACUUCCACUGCAGGGGGCACGGGUUUGAUCCCUGGUCGGGGAACUAAGACCCUGCAAGCUGCAUGGCACGGUCAGAAAGAAAAAAAAAAAAAAUUUCAUAUUCCCACUUAGGAGAUUUGAACUGUUACUUCUGUUACUUAAGAAAGCAGCACUGCUUAUGACUACUACUGCUAUCAUAAUGUUAGUCAUAUUCCUAUCAUGCUUUAUAACUUACAGGACCUUUCACUUGCACUCUUCUCAUUUUGUUUCCUGGUAACUCUGAGAUUAUUAUUUCUCACUUUACAGAUAAGGAAACUGAUGGUUUCCCAUUGUCCUUUAGCUAAAGUUUAGAAUCUUCAGCGUGACCUAAGUCCCUCCCUAGUCUGGGCCUUGCCUACCUCUCCAGAUCCCUCUUUCACCACCUUCCCAAGACCUCUCUUUGUUCCAGCUAUUCUGGGUUUCUUUUGAGUUCCUUAAGUAGGUCAGGUUCUCUCCAGCCAUAGGCCUUGUGUUGCAUGUGCCGUUUCUCCCACAUAGGACACUUUUCCCUGUCCUCUUUGCCUGGCUAGCAACUACUCAUCUUUUGGGUCUCAGUUUAACACCAUUUCUUCACGGGAGCCUUUCCUGAACAUUGAGGCUAUGUUGGACUCCGCAGUAAUAUCCUCUUAUACCCCCCGGCACUUCCCAUUCCAAAGACUCAUCACACUUCAAGUUACUCAUUCAAUAAUUCUUGUUCCUGCUGGACUGUAAGCUCCAUGAGGCAGAAACCAAAUCUGCCUUAAUUGAUUCUGUAGUCUCAGUGCGUCGUAUAAUAUACUUUCAUUCUGAAAGCUUUUGUAAUGAGUCUGCUAUCUGGAUUCCAUUGCCAUGGAACUAAUGCAUCAAAACCUUGCCUUCAAGUCCAGUGCUGUGGGGCUUUUCUGACAGGCUUCUUCUGAUAUUUCAAUAACCAACAUCCUUUGAUGAGUGACCAAAAUGCACACCUCCCACAUCUAAUAGCAGGUUGUAAAGUUAGAACACAGUGACACUGUAUUCUUUAUUAAUGACUAGAAAAGGCUGGUGCUGUUCUCACCUCUUCUGUUGUUUCUGUGAUGCUCACAUACCAAUGAGAACCUUUGUCCAGCAUCCUUUUGGAGCAGUCAAGGGUGGAUCACAGAUGACAGGGACAUUAACAGCUAUUCAUGGCUUCCCUGGUGGUGCAGUGGUUAAGAAUCCACCUGCCAAUGCAGGGGACACGGGUUUGAGCCC